rnacentral:lncRNA from 1 species
AAAAAAAAAAAAAAAAAAAAAGCUUUUAAACUUGGAAAAAGUAAUUUGCAUCAGUAUAUAGCAAAGAACCAAUGACCAAAUGCAGGAGAGUACAACAGAGAUUAUUAAGACUUCACACAUGGUCCUUUAAAUAAUUAGAAAAUCAUUAACAUGCUUAGCUUGGCAAUUCAGAUAACAGUAAUUACUUUAGCCAGUACCCAUCCCAAAAGGUACAGGAUAUUUUGGACAUUCUUUCACUUGCUCAUUCAAAAAUAUUUCCUGGUGUCCUGGGUUGAGAAGCAGGCUUGGGGAGGGAGAUUAAUGUCCAUGAUGUUUGUGAAGGCAGGCUCCUGGGAUCGCACUUGUAGAUGGAAAACGAAGGAGGAGGAUUGUGGAGAGAGAGAGGAGAUGGUUCCUAUACAGCCUCGGUUGACUCACAGAGAGCGCUGAAGCUAGCCUGGCCUCUCAGCUGUUGUCCAUUCUUGGGGUAAUGAAGCAGGGCUUUUAUCCUCUGCCUCCAUCCAGUCACUGGAUGUGGGCUACUCCCAGAAAGGGAGUAACCUUAGGUGAGGCAGCGCUGAAGAGGCCUGACAGCUGAGGCUUGUCUACUGACAACACUCCCAGCAGCUGAGGGGGAUAAGACCUCCAGGCUCAAGGGUGAGCUCUACGGCCCAACACAGCGUCCACCACACUGACGCAAUAUGAUGCCGACAAAAUAAACAGGCUUUUCGAUCUUCUGUAACUUGAAGGUGAGACGGGAAAGUGGGCUGGAGUUGAGCAGAGUUCAGAGUUCUCCUAGCUAGGGGCAUACUCUGGAGUACGCAAAUCCAACAGUCCUGACAGAGGAAAGCAGCUUCCUGUAUAGUUGACCUGGAAGGUCAACUUCUUGUCAGAGUUUUACAUGAAUUAUUUUUAUGGUGGAAAUAGAUGUAAAUGUUCCACCAAAAAUGAUUUUUAUCAGGAACUGUCACAGCCACCUCAACCUUCAGCAACCACCACUGUUCAAGGCAACAUCCUUCAGCAGCAGAAAGAUUGACUCGCUGUAGGCUCAGACAUGGGGCCUCACUAUGUUUCACAGGCUGGUCUAAAAC